rnacentral:lncRNA from 1 species
CUUGACUGCUGUGGUGUGUUCAACUAUACUGACUGGUUUGACACUGCCUGGUCUGGCAAGAUAGAAGCUGUUCCACCUAGUUGUUGUAAAACUUUGAAGAGUUGUAACAACAAUCCUUUGACAAAUGUCACACACAUCUUCCAUCAGGGAUGCUAUGCUAAAGUUACAAAAUUUGUGAAUGAAAAUUUGACAGCUAUUGGAGGUGGGGCUGUAGCAAUUGCAUGUUUCCAGCUUCUAGGAGUGCUUUUUGCAUGUUGUCUUGCAAAAAAUGUCAAUAAGGCAAAAUAUGAACCUGUAGCUUAAAGAAUGGUUGGCUUCUUUUCUUAAGGUACCAUCCCUCAGAAAUUUAUGAAACUUAAACCUCGCAAGAUGUAUUUUCUCUUUUGUCCUUUCAGAAGCUGGUUAAAAAGCUUAUGAGCUCAAACCUUUCAACAUUUUGAAAUUAAAUGAUCUGUUUUUUUCUGUAUAUAUUGUUCUUGUACAUUUAUCUUUCAGCUUGUUGCGGGUUUUACCCUCACAAAUGAAUUAACCAAGUUAAAAAAUUUCAAGGUCAAUUAGCAUCUGUUAACUGUCAGAUUAUGUGAAACUGCAGAUUUUUAUGCUUAAUUUAUGUUUUAUAUUUUUUGUACCAAAACUGGUCAUUCCCAAGUUGAUCUGAUUGCAAAUAUUUUAUACAUUGCUUUAAUUUUUUAUAUUACUUUCUAGCUUGUUAUGGUAUUAAAAUAUAAGAAUCUGAAAAAGAGUUUUUAUAUUAUGUCAUAUUGCAUUUUGUUAAUAUGUGAAGUGCAUUAUAGGUGUCUACUGUCAAUUGUAUUGCUGAUGUAUGCAUACAUAGAUGUUCUAUUCAGUGUACAUCCUUUCUUUUUUAGAUUUAAAUAUAUAUGCCAACUGUAAGUAUAUUACACAGUUCACCUUAAGUCAAAAUACUGUUGGUAAAUUUAUUACCAAUUAUAUAAAUAAUAUUUAAAUAUUUAGCAAAAGCUAUUUCAAAAAUUGUUUCAUUUUGUACAAAAAAAAAUCUGGACUUUCUUAUAACUUUAGAUAAAUUAUUUUUUGAUGAGAAAAUCUACUGAAAAUGCAGUGUUAUAACUGGAAAUUUUGUUGUAUAAAUAUCUUUAAUUUCUUUGAGUGUCACAAUUUAUAUAUACACUAAAUAUUUACAAAAUAUAUAUAUAUAUAUAUUGCUGUUACUUUUAUGAUUCUCUUCCUGACACAUUAGAUACUAGCUUAAGAAGUGUGUUGUACAAACACUUCACUUUUAGAGAUCUGAGACUUUGUGCAGCAACUUACUACUAAAACGAUAAAAAAAGUAUUAAAACAUUUCACUGCACAAUUGUAUUCAAGUAUGUGAUGUUUUUAUUGUUGCUCAAACCAUGUGCAUUAUAUAGAACUGAUACUGCCCACUGUGAAAUGGCAGACAUGUUCUUCAUACAUAAUUUUUUAACAAGUUGGUUAACAAAAUAUUUGGGAAAAUGUCAAACUGUCUAAAAACUGUUUCUUUUAGAGAUAGUAAAUAGGAAAUGCUUAAAAAGCAUGCUAUAUUGAAAAAUAAAACUGCGGGAGCACAUAAACAGAUUUAGCCUAAAUUCAGUAUUAAUGUAUAUCUGCACAUAAAGUUCACCAAACUAAAAGUUGAUAAAAUAAUGUAAUAAUGUCUCUAAAAUGUUAUAUUAAUUGUAUUAAUAAAAUGUAUUUUGGUGGGCCAGCAGUAAGUUACAACACUAAAGUCCAGGGCUCAGUUUCCAUUGUGAAGUUGUGUUGAAGUAAACAAACUUGAUAGGACUGUAUUUAUUCUGCAUAUUUGCACUAAUCAGAUUGUAAUUGUUUCAAGGGUGGAAUGCAAUUUGAGAAAAAUAAUGGAAUACAAAUUAGUGUUCUAUGACAAUCAUGUGCAUGUACCACACAGCUAAUAGACUUUGCAGUAAUUUAAAAAAAAGCUUUUGCUGCUAUUUUUGUCAUCUUUUCUGAACAGGUGUUUAAUUAAUACAUAGUCAUUGAUUUACAUACUAGUGAUAGAACAUAACUGAUUCUGCAAAAACACCGAAGAAAGAUUAUCAAACUUGCCCUAAAUUUUAUCUGUAACCUGUGUAUUGUAAUAAUAUAUAUAUACAUACACACAUUAAUUUUUUCUUUGUGUUAAGAAUUUAUAAGGGUAUUUUAUUUGAGCACUGUUUAAGCAUAUUUUAAGAAGUAUUAAAUUGUGAUUUAUUCAUUUUUCAAUGUAACUAAUCUUU